GGGUGGUGGCCUAGUUGGCUUCGGUCGCUAGGACACCUAUCCAUCCAUCCGGGAACUGUGCUCGUCCUUCACUGGUCGGUGCAGGGAACGGAUACUUUACCUUGAAAAAAUCAGAGUGUUUCAGGCAGGCCAUCGCCGGAAUACAUUAGCAUGGAAUAAUGGAAUAGGACUUUGGUCCAUUUUAUUGGUUAUUGGUCCGAAGUA
rnacentral:rRNA from 1 species